GGAACCACACCAAUCCAUCCCGAACUUGGUGGUAAAACUCUACUGCGGUGACAAUACUGUAGGGGAAGCCCUGCGGAAAAAUAGCUCGACGCCAGAAU
rnacentral:rRNA from 1 species